GGUAGUGUUUAUGGCGCUCGUCUUUUCUCGUUUACAUCUUAAAGCGGCGAGCGUAAAUACAAAUGCAGUCGGCGGACAGUGGGCAGCCAUCUUGUUUGUCAGUGGGAAAGACGCCUCGAUGCAUUCCCCUCCCAACAGCGAUCCUACCGGGGAGAUGACAAGAAUAACCCCAAGGGGGGGGGAGUAGAAAUGUUCGAAAAAAUGAGAAGCUCGUUGUUUCACAAGAACAACUACGUAAACGCAAGCACAAGCGACAUGCCUACUUGGUGGCCAUGUUGGAAAGGUGUGGUUGUUCUUCAAAGUUCUCGAGCGCCUGGACCUGCGAUUAGCUCACCUGUCGCAAUUAUAGAGAACCACACACAGGCUUAGGAGGUGGGUUUGAACCCACGAGGACCGAAACCGCCACUGGAUCGCGACUCCGAAGCCAAAACCUUCUGGCAGUCCGCUGACGGUUCACCACGACAAAACAUCUGAAUAAUUCC